CGUUGAUGGAAGGAAGAGGUUUCCUUUGCCUGCUUCAAAAGGGGAACAUGGUUCAUCAAACAUGGACGAAGGUACCUUUGAGACACAAGAGGCGCAUGGAGGAGGCCACCAGAGAAGCAUCAGAACUUACCAUACCAAGUGGCUCUAUGAUGGAGUUUUCUGGCACCGAGAGUGUGUGACUUGCCCAAGGUCCCCCACUGAGUUUCGAUGGUUGAAUGGGGAGUCAAAUUCUGAUCUCUGGAGUCAAAGUCCAACGCUAAUAUCAGCUACAUAACACUGGAUCCAGCAAAGUCUAUGAGGAAAAUACCUUGCCAAAUCUCUGGAGGUAUCACCAACUGAUGCUCUGAGGCCAGAGCAAAGAAGGGGCAGCCAGGAAGACCUUUCCACCUCGUCUCCUGUGCCAUCAGUUGGAGGCCUUUCUCCCCAGU
rnacentral:lncRNA from 11 species